GCUGUGGCUCAGUGGUAGAACAUGGGCUUUGCAUGCAGAAAGUCCCAAGUUCAAUCCCUGGCAUCUCCA